CAGCCGCCGCGGUAAUACGUAGGGUGCAAGCGUUAUCCGGAAUUAUUGGGCGUAAAGAGCUCGUAGGCGGUUUGUCGCGUCUGCUGUGAAAACUGGAGGCUCAACCUCCAGCCUGCAGUGGGUACGGGCAGACUAGAGUGCGGUAGGGGAGAUUGGAAUUCCUGGUGUAGCGGUGGAAUGCGCAGAUAUCAGGAGGAACACCGAUGGCGAAGGCAGAUCUCUGGGCCGUAACUGACGCUGAGGAGCGAAAGCGUGGGGAGCGAACAGGAUUAGAUACCCGUGUAGUCCCUGUCUCUUAUAC
rnacentral:rRNA from 1 species